rnacentral:rRNA from 1 species
GAUGAACGCUGACAGAAUGCUUAACACAUGCAAGUCAACUGUGGCGGACGGGUGAGUAACGCGUAAAGAACUUGCCUCACAGAUAGGGACAACAUUUGGAAACGAAUGCUAAUACCUGAUACUGUGAGAGAGCUUUGCGUCCCAUUAGCUAGUGGGAGAGGUAACGGCUCACCAAGGCGAUGAGGGGUAGCCGGCCUGAGAGGGUGAUCGGCCACAAGGGGAAUGAGACACGGCCCUUAGUCAUACGGGCGGAAGCAGUGGGGAAUAUAGGACAAAGGACCAAAGUCUGAUCCAGCAAUUCUGUGUGCACGAUGAAGUUUUCGGAAUGUAAAGUGCUUUCAGUUGGGAAGCAGUACCAACAGAAGAAGUGACGGCUAAAUACGUGCCAGCCGCCGCGGUAAUAC